GUAGUCUCUUCUUACGCGCAGAACCUUUGUAUUUAUUAUAACAAUGGUGACAAAAUGUGGGAAUGGGAAAGGGGAGGAAGGGGGGAAGGAAGAACAUAAAUGCAAGCAAGAAAAAAGCAGUAAGAUCAAGAGUCGGGAGGAACGUUCUGUUGCUCCUUCGUCCUGUUUUUGCUUUAACUGAGGAAAACUGAUGUGGUGAGUGCAGCCACUGUAACUAGAGACUAGAAGUGCUUUUUUGGAGCCAGGUCAUGAAAGGCUGAUGGAGGGUGGGGCCAGAAGCACCCCAGGGCCCCCAUGCACCCACAGAUGCCUGAGGGAAGCGGGUUGUUCCCCACACAUUGUGGUGAGGCUGAGGCUCGGGCCAGGCCACAGGCCUGAGCUCAAGAACAUGGGUGUCAGCGGACACAAAGCCCAGUGCUGCAGCCACAGGGGCCCAGAGCUUGUCCCCUCCCCUUCCUUCCCCCUCCCUGAUAUGUAUGGUUAUUCAUGGCAAUGGGAAAGGGCUGCUUCACAGCCGCUGCUGAAUGGCACAGUGGCAGGUGCUGGGGAGAGCUGGGGGCCUGCAGGGGGCUUGCAGAGCUGCCACGUACCCAUCUCUGUCUGGGUGCUCCGUUCUGUCACCCUGUCAGCUGGUGUCAAGCUCAGGCUUGGGGUGAUGGUAGCCCAGUGUGGCGGACCUGCCACCAGCAAGGCUACGAAUUUCAUACUGGCCUGGAGGAUGGCCAAGGCAACCUUGUACUGAAGUUCAAAAUGAGUGGAAAUAAGAAGUGGAGGACCUGCUGGUGCAAUUUUUAUGAUAGAAGGAGGAGAAGCCAUCCAGAGGGAUGAGGACAGGCCUGAGAGUUGGGCCCGCAUGAACGUUGUGAAGUUCAGCAAGGCCAAGUGCAAGGUCCUCCACCUUGUUCAGGGCAAUCCCAAGGAUGAAUAUAGGUUGUGUGAAGAAUGGAUUGAGAGCAGGACAGGAGGAUUUAGGAGUCCUUGCUGAUGAAGAACACAGUGAGUGCUAACAGUGUGAGUCCUGAAGGCCAACUGUAUCUUGGGCUGCACCAAAAUAAGCAAGAUAAGCAGAGCGAGGGAGGCGAUUGUCACCCUCUGCUCUGCCCUCAUGAGGCCUCAUCUCGAGUGCUGCAACCAGGUCUGGGCUUGCCAGCACGAGAAAGACAUGGAACUUUUAGAGCUGGUCUAGAAGAGGGCCAUGAGGAUGAUCAAAGGGCUGGAGCACCUCUCCUAUGAAGAAAGAUUGAGGGAGAUGGGCUUGUUCAGUCUGGAGAAGAGAAGGCUCAGGGGAAACCUCACUGCGGUCUUCCAGUACUUAAAGGGAGCUGAUAAACAAGAUGGAGACCAACUUUUUAUAUGGUCUGAUAAUGAUAGGACAAGGGGUAACAGUUUUAUACUAAGAGAGGAGAGAUUUAGAUUAGACUUUAGGAAUAAAUUCUUCACCAGCAUUCUGGUGAUGCA
rnacentral:lncRNA from 1 species